GAUGAACGCUGGCGGCGUGCCUAAUACAUGCAAGUCGAGCGAACGGACGAGAAGCUUGCUUCUCUGAUGUUAGCGGCGGACGGGUGAGUAACACGUGGAUAACCUACCUAUAAGACUGGGAUAACUUCGGGAAACCGUAGCUAAUAACGGAUAAUAUUUUGAACCGCAUGGUUCAAAAGUGAAAGACGGUCUUGCUGUCACUUAUAGAUGGAUCCGCGCUGGAUUAGCUAGUUGGUAAGGUAACGGCUUACCAAGGCAACGAUGCAUAGCCGACCUGAGAGGGUGAUCGGCCACACUGGAACUGAGACACGGUCCAGACUCCUACGGGAGGCAGCAGUAGGGAAUCUUCCGCAAUGGGCGAAAGCCUGACGGAGCAACGCCGCGUGAGUGAUGAAGGUCUUCGGAUCGUAAAACUCUGUUAUUAGGGAAGAACAUAUGUGUAAGUAACUGUGCACAUCUUGACGGUACCUAAUCAGAAAGCAACGGCUAACUACGUG
rnacentral:rRNA from 1 species